CAGUUUGGCGCGUAUCAAGCAGGAUGGACAAGAUGCAGCUAGCGAUUAUUAGACUGGGCGUGUGAUGGAGACGCGGGUAUCCUUACGCUGUCGGGCAUUGUCUACUGCGCAAAGGAUCAGCAAGGUUGUGAGGUUGAUUUUUAUUAUUUUUAUUAAUAUUAUUUGUAUGUAUUUUGUAAUAAUAUAAUGUACAUAAAACUAUAGUCAUACGUUAUUGGUACUGUGUUAAUAUUAAUUUUAAAAAUAUUUUUUUACUAUAUACCUAUUUCUGUUUAAUUUAAAUAACUAUAAGAUUAUAUUGUAAAUUCAAUUGAGGUGUUAAUAAUAUUUUAAAGGUUGUUAAGCUUUUGUUAUGUAGUAUAAAAAUAACCAUUAUUACUAUUAAAUGUAUAUAAUGUUAGAAUAUUUAUAAUGAAGAACGAGUGUUGGUGCCUCCGGCAUCAAUAUUAGUGCCCUACAUCUA